CCCACUAUAGUUCAGUGGUAGAACAGCCCGCACGUUCAGUUCUCAUCGUGUCGGGAGGUCGGAGGUUCGAAUCCUCCUAGUGGCA